UGAGCGGUGGGGCCGAGUAGAGACAUAGUGAGCUGCGCUCGGAGAAGCCCUGACAAAACAACGAAGGACCCGGGUUCGAUUCCCGGCACCUCCACGGCUGGCGGCCCCUUGUUCGCGGAAAGCGCGAACCGGGGGCCGUUUCGGUAUUUCGCUCCGGGGCCGAGCCCCGGACGCCCCGCGUUGCGGUGGUUGCGCUGGGCGUGGUGGUUGCGCUCGUGUGGUGGCGCUGGGCGUGGUGGUUGCGCUCGUGCGCCUGGCCGUGUGGUUGCGCUCGGCUUUGCCGUUGCGCUUAUUGCUGCGGGUUGCGCCGGUUGGUCAGAGAGUCGGGUGGGCUGGGGCCACGCCUUGUGGUCGGCGGGGUUAUUGGGGGAGGGCUGCUUCGAUUAUUUGGAGUGCUUCUGCGCGGUCUAUGCCGGUGCUGGCUAUUACGGCGGCGUAGGCGCGGGCGGCGUGGCGGGCUUGUUCGCGGGCGUGGUGGCCGGCGGCUGAGACGAAGGAGCCGGCUCGGCCUUGGGUUUCGAUCAGGCCGGCCUCUUCGAGGGCUCGGUAGGCUCGGCCUACGGUGUUCACGGCCAGGCCG
rnacentral:tmRNA from 1 species